rnacentral:rRNA from 2 species
UGGGGAAUAUUGGACAAUGGGGGCAACCCUGAUCCAGCCAUGCCGCGUGAGUGAUGAAGGCCUUAGGGUUGUAAAGCUCUUUCGCCCGCGAAGAUAAUGACUGUAGCGGGAGAAGAAGCCCCGGCUAACUUCGUGCCAGCAGCCGCGGUAAUACGAAGGGGGCUAGCGUUGUUCGGAAUCACUGGGCGUAAAGCGUACGUAGGCGGGCAAUUAAGUCAGGGGUGAAAGCCUUGAGCUCAACUCAAGAACUGCCUUUGAUACUGGUUGCCUGGAGUCCGGGAGAGGUGAGUGGAACUGCUAGUGUAGAGGUGAAAUUCGUAGAUAUUAGCAAGAACACCAGUGGCGAAGGCGGCUCACUGGCCCGGUACUGACGCUGAGGUACGAAAGCGUGGGGAGCAAACA